AGUUUAGCAAGAAACUACAUUGCGAUAUAUUUAAUAAUUGGCACAUACACUGUAUGCCCUUAUAUUUAUAUAUACUGUGACAAACUUAAAAUUAUAAUGAACUGCUUAUAGAAAUAUUCUUACUAGCAUGAUGCUGCAGUGAGACCGAAAAUCGGUGACAGUGGAUUGUGUAAAUAGAACUUUAUAUAUUGAACUGUAUAUAUACCCUUGUUAUAUUUUGAAGAAAGCGGGACACGUGACUUUAAAAAGGAGCAUGAUAAUCCAUUUUACAAAUAGUCAUGCAUUGAUUUAUUUUGUAUCACUUCUUAAAAAUUUAUUUCUGAGUGUCCAAACUGGG